rnacentral:tRNA from 1 species
CCCUGGUUAGCUCAGUUGGUAGAGCGCUCCACUUGUAAUGGAGAGGUCCCGGGUUCGAUACCCGGACCAGACA